rnacentral:rRNA from 1 species
CCUACGGGCGGCAGCAGUGAGGAAUAUUGCUCAAUGGACGAGAGUCUGAUCCAGCCAAGUAGCGUGAAGGAUGACUGCCCUAUGGGUUGUAAACUUCUUUUAUAAAGGAAUAAAACGAGGCACGUGUGCCUUUUUGCAUGUACUUUAUGAAUAAGGAUCGGCUAACUCCGUGCCAGCAGCCGAGGCAAUACGGAGGGUCCGAGCGUUAUCCGGAUUUAGUUGGUUUAACGGGAGCGUAGAGGGGUUGUUAAGUCAGUUGUGAAAGUUUGCGGCUCAACCGUAAAAUUGCAAUUGAUACUGGCAGUCUUGAGUACAGUUGAGGUAGGCAGAAUUCGUGGUGUAGCGGUGAAAUGCGUAGAUAUCACGAAGAACCCCGAUGGCGAAGGCAGCUUACUAAACUGUGACUGACAUUGAUGCGCGAAAGUGUGGGUAUCAAACAGGAUUAGAUACCCCGGUAGUC